AGGGUAAUUGUCACAAUCAGUCACCUUCUCAAACAUCAUAAUCAUCUUCCAAGCAGAGAAAAGCAAGGAUUUCCAACAGAUCAUAGUAUCAAUGAAGUGAAAGACACAUCUACAACCUAAACAAAGUCUAGAAAUCAAGAGAAACAUGCAAAACUGUACACAAGACAAAACAAAAACUACCUAGAAAACAAAAAAUUUAACGCAAAAAACAAAAACUAACAAAGAAAGUAGAAAUCUCC
rnacentral:lncRNA from 1 species